ensembl:lncRNA
UUUUUGUUCCCUAGCUGAGGCAAGGUCAGAUCAGUUUGGACAGCAUUUUAACAGCAACUAAUAUAAAUAUGUAUUAUUAAGGCAAGCAUCUGAGAACUUCUGGCUUUUACUGUAAGUAUGUGUCAGUCAUGAUGGCAGCAGAAAGUGUUCUGUAAGCAAAGAGAGUGUAAUGAUAAGUGUAUAUCACAUCAUAAGUUGAGCUGUAUGGUCCUUGAGUUGUGUUUUAUUAUGCAUCAGUGAAUGUGCUUCUAUUUGAGUGUCACUGAUGGUUACUUUAUAUAAAUAAAUUGAUUCCGACUGUGAAUUGUUGAAGUAACCUCUUACCCCUACUGCAAAUUAGAUACUGCAGCCAAGGAUGAAUAACGGUUGGGGAUUUGGUUACUAUGUGAUUAAAAUUAAGAAAUAAUUGGAUGCAUGUUGACUCUUAGGUUAAGCCAUUUACAACAGUGAGGGGGGAUAUUUACAUUUGGUCUCCGACUCUCUGAAAUCAAACACUCACCCAAAAACAAUCAGCUUAAAUCUUUGAUGUAUAACUCUUUCCUGUUUAAGUAGAAAAAAAAGGCAAUGAAAGAAAUCCCCCCUUCCAUUAUUAUACUUCCUCCAUUAAAAAAUAAUAAAUAAAUAAAUAAAAACUGUAAGAUUGUGCCCCACUUUGGCUACCCUGCAGGCUACUAUCACAAAAAAGAAAAAAAAAUCUCCCAUCGAUCAUUGGGCACACAUGUCAAGACUGCCCUAAUAAAAAUGAGGUGUAAAUAAUGUAGGGGGCAGAUAUGGCGAGCAGCACCAUUUGCUGUGUGGAGAUAUAGGCUAUAAAAACAGCAGCACUGUUUGUCUCAAUCUCAGCUGUUUCAGUUUUCUGUUUAUCUCCACUCUACCAUUUCAGCAAAGUGCCAUACUGUAAGGAUGAUUUUCCAAUGUGUUUAGACAAGAUGCGGAUUUUGGCAAAGCAGUUUCAAUUAUGUGAUGUGCUUUUUGGCCAGUGUUACCAUAUUUGGGUAUGGUUGCAAUAAUCGAAAUCAUACCCCUAGGAACAGGACAUAAUAAACUGGAUAUAUUAAAAAAAUGGACAUCUCCACCAUCAUGUCACCAAUGAGCUGGUGAGCAUUUUGAAACCGGAAGUUUAACAUUGUCACCAUCUUGCUUUUUGUUGUAAAAGUUUAUUUGGAAAGUGUACUUGGAAAAUACACUGUAUGUAACACAAGGAGCAGCAUUCUAUCUAAAAGUCACCAGGUGGCGAUAGCUGUGGAUGCACUUCUGUCCCAUCCUUUAUACUGUCUGUAGUUCUUAAAUAGGCUUUUAUUUGCACAACAAGAUGUAAUAUUUGUGAAAACUGCACAAAAAUGCUUUUUAAAUAUGAUUUAGUAGUCCAUUUAAGUGACUACUUUUGUCAUUAAAAUGCCCAAACUCCGAUAAUAAUAAUAUUUGUUUCAUUUUAAUCACACUUUGAUUCGUUUUCCAGCUUGCUGCACAUCGUUUAUGUAAAUGUGAACGACGUAAUCACACUCUGAUGCGGAUCAAAAAAACAAGAUCCUUUGGAGGACGUGAUUUGUGAUUCCAGAUCAACUCCAGAGUGGUAUGGUUAGCACGAGAACAUGAUUCAACCCAGUUACUAGGUGUACACUGCAUGUUUCAGCUAAAUGCCUUCCAUAUUGCCAAUAAGAAGACUGAAUGUUGUUUUGUAAUGACAUAUUUGAGUUUUCUCUGUGUGAAAAUUAAAAGCUACAGAUUUACAGACUCGACUAAUUCAGACCAAAAAAAAAGCAAAAAAAAGAAACACUAAGUAUUUAUAAUUUCAAUAUGAGUUAUUAAAAACAACCUUCACCUUCCUUCACUGCAGAAGUUUAUA